rnacentral:rRNA from 1 species
AGAGUUUGAUCAUGGCUCAGGACGAACGCUGGCGGCGUGCCUAACACAUGCAAGUCGAGCGGAGAUAUUAGCAAUAGUAUCUUAGCGGCGGACGGGUGAGUAACGCGUGGGCAACCUGCCUUAGACUGGGGGAUAACACAGGGAAACUUGUGCUAAUACCGCAUAACAUUAUGAAGUGGCAUCACUUUAUAAUCAAAGGAGCAAUCCGGUAUAAGAUGGGCCCGCGUCCAAUUAGCUAGUUGGUGAUGUAACGGACCACCAAGGCGACGAUUGGUAGCCGAACUGAGAGGUUGAUCGGCCACAUUGGGACUGAGACACGGCCCAGACUCCUACGGGAGGCAGCAGUGGGGAAUAUUGCGCAAUGGAGGGAACUCUGACGCAGCAACGCCGCGUGAAGGAUGAAGGUUUUCGGAUUGUAAACUUCUUUGAUGAGGGACGAAACAAAUGACGGUACCUCAAAAACAAGCCACGGCUAACUACGUGCCAGCAGCCGCGGUAAUACGUAGGUGGCGAGCGUUGCCCGGAAUUACUGGGUGUAAAGGGCGUGUAGGCGGGGAUGUAAGUCAGAUGUGAAAUACCGAGGCUUAACUUCGGGGCUGCAUCUGAAACUACGUUUCUUGAGUGUCGGAGAGGAAAGCGGAAUUCCCAGUGUAGCGGUGAAAUGCGUAGAUAUUGGGAGGAACACCAGUGGCGAAGGCGGCUUUCUGGACGAUAACUGACGCUGAGGCGCGAAAGCGUGGGGAGCAAACGGGAUUAGAUACCCUGGUAGUCCACGCUGUAAACGAUGGAUACUAGGUGUAGGAGGUAUCGACCCCUUCUGUGCCGGAGUUAACACAAUAAGUAUCCCACCUGGGGAGUACGGCCGCAAGGUUGAAACUCAAAUGAAUUGACGG